UACGAAGGGGGCGAGCGUUGUUCGGAUUUACUGGGCGUAAAGAGCUCGUAGGCGGUUUGUCGCGUCUGCCGUGAAAGUCCGGGGCUCAACUCCGGAUCUGCGGUGGGUACGGGCAGACUAGAGUGAUGUAGGGGAGACUGGAAUUCCUGGUGUAGCGGUGAAAUGCGCAGAUAUCAGGAGGAACACCGGUGGCGAAGGCGGGUCUCUGGGCCGAUACUGACGCUGAGGAGCGAAAGCGUGGGGAGCGAACAGG
rnacentral:rRNA from 1 species